GAGGCACUGGAAGGGGCCCAGGAUGGGGGCAGAAGCGGAAGCAUUACAGCUGGUCCGGAGAGGGCUGCCCUGCCGAAGUCCGAAGAUAGCCUUCCUGUUUCCCUAGGUCUUGCUGAGCUGCCCAGGAUAGCCUUGAACUCUCUCCCACCUCAGCCUGCAGAGUAUCAACCCAGAAUUUGGACUGGACUCUCGAAGGAAUGCAGAGAUUUCCAUUGUGCAUCUUCACGGGCCCCAUCCUGCUUCUCUGGGAGAGGGACCGCCGCUCCCCCGGACCCAUUUCCUAGCCCGUCGAGUCUCACCCG